CUCCCUUUUAGUCUGUGUCUCCCUUAGCAUAUCAGACUCAAAAAUGCUUUACACAAAUGCAAGUAAAACAUAACCCUCAUCAAAAGUAAUACAACAAAGUCCUCUUAAAGCAUACACUGGUUAGUUCAUGUGCUUUGAGUUUUGUUUAGUUUUUUCUUUUUACAAUAAACUAGGAAACUGUUUGAGAACUAUUAGUAAGGAAUAUUUUUAUUUUAUGAUUUACAGUAUGAUGAAUUAAAACUGAUCUGCUGAUACAGCAGCUAAAGCCAUUUGACAAACGUUUAUGGAAGACUUUGUAAAAAUGUACAUUUGCUUAUAAUAAUGUUUAAAAGCCAUUUUUUUAUUUUUAUUUUCCUUGUUUUCCUUUUUUGUUUUGUUUUUUCUUGAGAAUGUUAAUAAUUCUACCUUAUAAAGAACGAGAAAAAAACUUUAAAAUUAUUGAGAAUACAGUACAUUAUAACAUCAAAACGUCUGUGAACGUUCUCAGUCAUCCAGGUCAUCGUAGUCUAAGGAGCUUGGAGAGGUGAGAUGUCUUUAAGCAACUUAAAGAAGUCCAGACGCUUUUCUUUCCAAGCUCCUUAGAAUAAAAAAAAAAAAAAAAUUAAUUAAACAUUUCAGGUUUCAUUCAACCUUCCACCAGUUUAGAAACAGCCAUUCGAUCUCCAACCAAGUACUUCUGUGUCUAAACCUAUGAUUGUUAUGAAUCAUAUUGCUUUUUUGUGGUAACAUGGCCAUUUAAAAAGCAAUGACAAAUCAUUUGCUUGGACUUGUUGGAAAGUAGUCAUCACCAUUACUGUAUAUAAACAUCACAGUGCUUCCUGUUUUGGUACUAAAUGUUGCCAGUGAAUAACAGCACUAAUACAAAGUAGCUAAUGUGGAUGUAUUCUGCAGGAGAUGACGUUGAAGCAUAGUCAUAUCGUUCACAAAUACCCCCACACACACACCUCAAGACACUAAUGUGACUUUCAGGUUGACUAAUAUAUGAAAGAGAGGAUUAGAAGAAAAAAUAAAUUCCAUACACCCAAACUACAGUGUGCUACAGUGGCACAGAUGAAAACCUUAUACAUGAACAAAGUGAAUGAGUCAGAAGACUGAAUCCUUCCCCCCAAACGAAACACUUUCUCGGUGACAGCUGUGGUUUUAAAAGCCUACUUUAUCCCAUUUAUGCCAUUUAUGGCAAUUACCUUUCCUCUUGAUUCAUCCUCCCAAAAUGAACUUUGUUUCACAUAUUUCGAAUAUCCUUCCCUUAUUACCUGGGACCUUUCCUGUUUCACUCCGUCCUCACCUGCUGUGUGCUCCACCUCUUUUGAGCCUGUCAGUUCCACCCGACAUCACAGUGCAUAAGUUAAUUGUCUUUCUUGCUCUUCUUCGGAUGUGACUGCUUCCACGGUUCAGUUUUAAUUAAUAGUUAUCUCUUCUGUACUAAAAUAGUGGAAGUUUUUGAUGGUGAAUUGCUCUGA
ensembl:lncRNA